CUGAUUAACCUUUUAUAAUAUCAUUAGCUGUUUCUGCAGAUUAUAUCAGUCCCUAACUCGAAUAGCAUCAGCGUAUCUGCCAUCUCCUAAUGGAUGUGUAAUUCAUUUACAGCGUCUUUAAUGAUGUUUUCUCCGGUGAAACAUAAGCUCAAAUGAGGCGAUUAAGCGUUGAAGAUGAACAGGCCGGGCUACGAUUAUACCGUGCCUGCAUCCACCACCUAUUACGCGAGUAAUAACCGGCCACCGCAAUACGAGCGCGGCUACGGACAGCUCACAGCCGGUCCUCUCUAUAGCCCCUCCUCCCAUCCUCUCUCCAAUUACGCAGAUGUAUAUGAGGGCAACAACGAUACCACUCUCAGAGCAGAAGAGAGGCACUGGUACAUAGAGAACCAUAAAAAUUUACAGCCGAAUUAUGACGUCAGCGACGCCAUACCUCAAGAUGCCAAAGUUAAGAAAGAGGAGGAGAAGAAAAGCGAAGUACCGAUCAGACGGUCUGAUGCAGGACAGCCGCGACAGAGAAGGAAAGAGGACCGCUGCUCUUGCGAGUGCUGGCCUAGUACCGACAAUAAUAUCGUGCAAGAUAGUACAGGGAACGAGACGACGAGGUCGCUGUCGGGGGUCGACAUGGUGGCCUCGUACGGUGUGUACGGCAACCCUAGAGAUGACGAAAGUUCAGGGUUUGCGCGGCUGUCGGAGAAGAGUGGUGUUUAUGGACAAGGGAGCGAUGCUCCAGUGCAGGGCGUGAUAGUGAACCAGCAAGGGAACAGCGCGGUGGUGCGCGCGCCGUCGCCCGCGCAGCCGGGCUGCGGCCGCUGCUGCGCGUGGUCGAGCGCCGCGCCUGCCGCCAACUCGGAAGACUACUGCUGGAUACACUACUGCCGCCCCGCCCUCAUAGUUUUACUACUAUUGUUUUUUCUAGUCUUGUUGGGCGUUUCUACUGGUUUCUUACUGACGAAUAACUAUUUACACUAUCAGCCUAGACCUCCAGCUCCCGAAGAGGCGUGUGAAAAAACAUUUUGUCGUUGGGGCGCGGAGUGUGUUUCCCUCGGGGACGGGCGUGCCCACUGCGCUUGUCCCGCGACAUGCCCCACGUCACCGGCGCCCGUGUGCUCCACCGCCGGCCGCACGUAUCGUAACCAUUGCUACUUACGUAAGGAAGCCUGCGAGCGACGACUCAACUUACGCGUCAAACAUGAAGGAGAAUGCGAUGCAGGAGACCCAUGUACAGGAGUAUCAUGUCCAGUCGGAGCUCGAUGCGUCGCAGCAUACGGCCAACCAGAGUGUAGAUGUCCCAGGAGUUGUCAGCGACGCAAACCGGUGUGUGGGACCGAUGGGAGAGAAUACCCAUCCGUGUGCCACCUCGACAAACACGCAUGCGACAACCAACUCAACAUAACUAUCAAAUACCAUGGAAAAUGCGAUCCCUGCUCGGAACAUGAAUGCGCGGACGGCGGCGUAUGUCAGUUAAAUGAAGCGCGGGCGCCAGUCUGCAGAUGUGGUCCACCGUGCGAUCUGUUGGUGCGGCCCGGCUCCGCCGUGUGCGGCUCCGACUACAAAGACUAUCCAAGCGAGUGCGCCUUGCGCCGAGAGUCAUGUCGGACAAGACAACAACUUACUAUUGCCUACAGAGGAGAAUGCGCUUCCGCACAACAUCCGUGUGACUCGGUGAAGUGUGGAGCUCGGGAGCACUGUUCGCUGGACGCGCGCGGCGUAGCGGUAUGCGGCUGUGGCGUGGAGUGCGAGCCGGUGGUGCGGCCUGUGUGUGGCUCUGACGGACGCACCUACGAUAGCCGCUGCCACUUGGAUAGGACCUCAUGUCUAGACAAUCGAGAUGUGCGAAUAGCUUACACAGGACCUUGUGGUGUAGAGAACCCGUGCGCCCGCGCUUCAUGCCCAUGGGGCGGCGCGUGCGUGGCGCGCGGCGGCGCGGCGCAGUGCGCAUGCCCAGUAUGCGACGCCACGCUCACGCCCGUCUGCGCCUCCGACAGAAACACGUACGGCUCCGAGUGCAAGAUGCGAAUGCAUGCCUGCCAGGAAGGCUUGCCUGAUGGAGAACUCAAAGUGCUGUAUAAUGGAACUUGCCAGACUUGCUCGGACAUCGUGUGCAAGGGCGGCGGUGACUGCAUCGUGGAUGCCGACACCGGCCGGCCCAUAUGUCGCUGCAACCACAACUGCACCGAGGCACAGGAGUCGGACUUGGCAUGCGGGAGCGACGGCCAGACAUACCCGUCGCAAUGCGAGCUGGACUCGACAGCGUGUCGUGAACAAACUGAUCUGCGGCUCGCAUACAAAGGCGAUUGUGCUCUGUGUGAAGGAGUUCAGUGUGCCUUUGGUGCACACUGCGCCGCUGGCGAGUGCAUAUGUCCCACGGACUGCACUGGUGCUGCUCGUGAACCAGUCUGUGGCAGCACCAUGCAGACCUUUCCCAACGAGUGCGAACUACAGAAGGCAGCUUGCAGACUCCCUCCGCCAGCCACACUGCACGUCAUCUUUUAUGGAGACUGUAAAGAUAGACUCGCUGUAGUACCACCAAUUGCUAUGACGACGACCGCGAUGACUACAACCGAGGCGGAGGACGGGUCCACGGACGCGUGGGGCGCCACUGACCUGGACGGCACGGCCGGGCCCGCCGCCUGCCGCGACAUCCGAUGCGACUUCGGCGCUAGCUGCGAGAUCGGCUCCGACGGUUACCCACGCUGUUCCUGCCUUUUCGAAUGUCCGCAUGAAACCGAAUACUUCCCUGUCUGCGCCUCAGACUUCAGACUCUAUCCCAGUCUCUGUGCUAUGCGUAAAGAGGGCUGUCAGAAACAACUCGAGUUGAGACUAAGGCCACUGGAUCUCUGCAAAGGUAUGGAAGUAAGACCCUGCGGUAAUAAUAAAGCUAUGAUCGACCCUACCACUGGCCUCGAAAUAGACUGUGGUAACGGGCCGCACCGGCAGGAUUGUCCUGCCGGCAGCUACUGUCAUAUCACGCUGACGGCGGCUCGCUGCUGCCCCAAAAACGAUUCGAGACAACUUGAGGAAAAGAAGAUAUCUCACUGUUCCGAAACUUCGUAUGGGUGUUGUUCUGACGGUUCGACCGCAGCCAGCGGUCCUAAUGAGGAGGGGUGUCCAAUCACGAGUUCGACUUGCGGUUGUAACCGGCUCGGCUCGGUGUCGGAUCGAUGCGAUGACGACGGACAAUGUGUCUGCCGUCCCGGUGUUGGCGGCCUCAAGUGCGACCGGUGCGAGCCCGGCUAUUGGGGGCUGCCCAGGAUCGGCUCCGGCCACACUGGGUGUAUACCGUGUGGGUGCUCCGCUUUCGGUUCAGUUAGGGAGGAUUGUGAACAAAUGACUGGUCGAUGUGUUUGCCGAACCGGGGUUCAAGGACAGAAGUGUACCGUGUGCGCCGACCACAGACGCAGAUUAGGACCCAACGGGUGUUCCGACCCUGAAACUGGUGGCGUGGUAUCAUCAUGUGCAGAACUAUCUUGUUACUUCGGCGCGGUGUGCACGGAACGCACUGGUGGCGCCCUUUGCGAGUGCGCAGCUGCUCCCUGCUCCGACAGCGAUACCAACAUGCUGGUAUGCGGUAGCGAUGGCAAAACUUACGAAUCCGAGUGUCACCUCAAAUUGCAAGCGUGUCGCACGCAAGAGGAUAUUGUGGUGCAAGCGUUUGGGCCGUGCAAGUUGGGCGAAGUGGCUGGCACAGCCGGCCCGCCGCGACCCUCCUCGCCGAUACAGUUCACUCAGCAAGAUGACGGCGCCGCAUCCAAAUCAACCAGACACCUGCUCAAUCCAGACAAAUACUACAACAAGUACGAUUGGACUAGAAAAGAAACGCCCAGUGAUUUCGACAGUAUCUUAUCAGGACAAAAAUUCAAAGCAACGACAGCAACAGUCGGAUCAGGCGCAGUGGGAGCACUGUUGGGCGACCUUUGCGCCGACGACGGCGACUGCGCCGCGCUGCCCGGCGCGGAGUGCGCGCGCGCCGCCUGCGUGUGUCGCGCGGGACAUGUGCCCACGCUACAUAGGAAGGCUUGCGUUGAACAAUUGCCACAAGAGACGACAGAAGAAUAUAGCGCUUGUUUGUCAGAGCCUUGUUAUAACCUCGGAACAUGUAUUGAUUUGCCUGGAUCCACUUACACGUGCUUAUGUGCCGGUCCUUAUACCGGAUUGAACUGCGAGUCCCUUGCAAAGGACGGACUUCUGGGAACCUACAUAGAGACACCGUCGUUCGACGGCACUUCAUAUAUAAGACUAAAACCCUUGAAAGCUUACCACAAGCUGAAUAUCGAUAUUGAAUUCAAAGCCUUUUCCGAGAACGGCGUCAUAUUGUACAAUCAGCAGAAACCUGACGGCACCGGUGAUUUUGUUUCACUCGCCUUAGUCAACGGAUAUUUAGAGUUUAGGUAUAAUCUUGGAAACGGAGUGUUAAUACUAACUUCACUAGAAAAGAUAACGUUAAACGAGUAUCACAAGGUGUCUGCGAAGCGAUACCAUCGAGACGGGAUUUUAUCAGUCGACGAUAUGGAAGAUGUGGUUGGCCAAUCCAGCGGCCAUUUAAAAGCACUCGAUUUGAAUGAAGAUGCCUAUAUUGGGAGCGUUCCCACCAACUUUACUAGAGUCUUCGAUAAUAUUGGAACGCGACACAGUUUUAUCGGCUGCGUGAAAUACUUGAGAGUAAUACGUCAUCAAGUGACAAAGAAAUUGGGCCGUCCGGACUCAUUAGUCGUUGCUAUUGAAAACGUCCAGGAGUGCCAAUCCAACCCGUGUAUGAGUAUGCCGUGCAAGAAUGGCGCUACGUGUAAAUCUAUAGAGGGGUCGGCGACCGAAUAUACUUGUAGCUGCCCUAUCGGAUUUCAAGGAGCCAAUUGUGACGAGAGAUUAGAUCCGUGCGAGUCGAAUCCCUGCGGAUAUGAUGAGGGGCUAUUGUGUGACAUCGGACCCGACGGCGGACACGUCUGUCGCUGUUUGUUUGGAGGCGAAAUUGGCUCCAACGGAAAUACUUGCAACAAUGAUGUGAACGUGGUUCAGGAAACCUGGUCCCCCCAGUUCAAUGGGACGAGCUACGUUGAAUUGCCGCCGCUCGAAGGGUUGGGAAAAGCGUUCCGCAUUGAAAUUUGGUUUUUAACGAACCGAUUUUCCGGAAUGCUCCUUUACACUGGCCAGUCUAAUAAAGCCAAGGGGGAUUUUAUAGCGAUUAACCUGGUUAAUGGUUACCUUCAGUUUAGGUACAAUUUGGGGAGCGGUAUUGCUAAUAUAACGUCACCAGUGCCUAUAACUAAGGGUCGCUGGCAUCGCGCUCGGAUCUCGAGGUCAGGACGUCAUGGAAGUCUGCAACUGGAUCAUCAUCCCACGCAAAGGGGACACUCGUCACCUCCGUUAACGCAUCUCGAACUAACGCUGCCUCUUUUCAUAGGAUCUCUGCCCUCGUAUAUUCGUCCGCACAAGAUGUCAGGCGUGACCAGCAGUUUCAUAGGCUCGAUGCAACAGGUCUUUGUGAAUGGCAACCCUUUGUCUCUGUAUGGGGCUGAUACGGCCAAGUGUGCGAUAGUGCAGGACGAAGAACGGCUCCCUUGCGCCACUACUGGAGUCACAAAGUAUACUGGCCCGCCCUGUGGAGAUGGUCUGACUCCCUGCAAAAACAAUGGCUCCUGCAUUCCAUUACUGAAUGAAUAUAAGUGUACCUGUCGCGAUGGGUACCAGGGCAGGAACUGUGAGAUUCAGAUCAACGUCGAAAUGCUUAACGAACGGACCCCGGUCAACUUCGAUGGAAACAAUUACUUCUCCUACAGAAGCAGAGGCAGUCGCAGCUUACAUACUAACAAAGACGUCGGUGAUGGACACUACGGUGUAAGAUAACAUUUGAAGGAAUCAACAAAUACUUACAUAAAUUAGUCGUAAUUCGUCACAGCAGUUAGUUUAGGAACAGCGGCGCUCGCGGUAUUAGAUAUGAAAUAAAAUUCCGAACAUACAACGACUCUGGCCUCCUCAUGUGGAGGCGGAAAAUUGGUAUACGGCCUCGAGACUUCAUCGGCUUAGGCUUGAGCGACGGAAAACUGCAGCUUAUUUACACGGACACUGACAUAAAGGAAAUGAACUUGGCUACUCACGAGGACUGGUUCCAAUGUGUAGAGUCCAAAGCCAGGGUUGAUGAUGGAAGGUGGCACACGGCUACCGUCAGGCGGAGGAAGAGGCUCGCUAUGCUGCAAGUGGACGAUACGCCGCCCGUUAGAGGGUACUCGCAGUCACUGCUAGUUCCCUCGAAGGCAAACCCCAAGCUGUGGAUAGGGGGUUCUCCAUCAUUGCCACUGGGGCUACCGGCGGCGCUGUACACAGGGCUCCGCGGCUGUGUCGCCAGCGUGAAGGCGAACGGGCGACAUAUCGAUCUGAGCGCGCCCAUCCGACCCGCGACACCGGUGCGACACUGUGACUGACGAUACCACUAGGUCGUGCCACCCGCGCACGACUCUCACUGCAGAUUGCCAAGUGGAUUGUGAGAUUUGAAAAAGUAUUAUUUUGUAGUUGUUGAGUUGAAUAGUGUUUUAAAUGUACCUGUCUAAUAAUGUACCUACCGAUACAUAUCCGUUCCGAUAUUUUGUUGGUAUUAUUUCAACUUUACAGCUUCUUGAAGAGUCCAUGAACAUAUUAUCUCUAAGAGAUGAAGAUUUCAUAUCACCUCUAUGAAAAGUAUUUAUAUAUAUUUAACCAAAAGAGUUCGUUGCCAUAAACCGUUACGUUGUAGUUUAAGAUUGAAUAGGAACAAUAUCAAUAAAUUAUUAUCUUUUUUAAAUCGGUGCUCGGAUUACACAUCAGAGGUAUAAAGAAAAAUGAAAUAUUAAUUAUGCGAAAGUACUGAAUUAAUAAAAAAGACUCUUGAUAUUUUGUUGUUAAAAUUAGCAGAAAUAUAUAAUCUAGUUAAUAGAUUAGUCAGUAAAACAUAAGAAUAGUUUUUAUUAUAAGCGAGAGCAAAAUAUCGUGUGAGAAAUUAUAAAAAAAAGUUUCUAAAACUUUAUUGAUGUAGAAUAAUAAUAUAUAAUAAUUGGGCAAUGGUAACAUUCCAGCUCUCGAACUGUGUCUUCAGGACAUAUUAUAUUAAUGUAUCAAAAAUAAGCAAUCGUAAAUUAAUAUUUUGACUAACGUUUUCUGAUUUUUUAUUUUGAUAAUGAAAUUAUCAUUUUGAUUCCAUUUUUGCCAUUCCUUUUAUAAUGUGAAGUACGAUAUUUAGCAAUUAUUUAUAAAUGACAGUGCCAUAGUAAUUGUACAGUAGCUGUGUUAGGAAUUUUAUAUACUCAGUGUUUAAAGCAUAAUACUAGGUUGUGUUUGUUCUUUCCUUUCGAAUAGUAUUUAUUUUUAGUAUUAUUUGUGUAACAUUACAAUUAAUAUACAGAUGUCAAUUUUAUUUCAUUAUUCAGCGUAUUACUACAUUACAUUUAAAUUUUCAAAAAAAUUACAUCAGUAGUUUUGAAGAUGAGAAUUUAAUUUGGCUAUUGCUCGAUAAGAAUUUUAAAAAUCAUCUGUUUGGUUAAAAAAAGAAAGCAUUUCAUAUCAGUUUAAGUUGGAUUUCCGUGCCAUACUUUUUUAAGUAAUUCAAAAUAAAUAUUUAACGCUGUAACUGUUUUACUUCUCCUGAGAUUAUUUUAGUGAUUUAAUUUAAGUACUGACAUUUUGUAAUAUAUGUACAUAAUGAAAUAAUAACUACAUAUAGACUAGACUUUUUUUACAAGCUGCUUUACUGUUUUAUCGAAAUAGUAUCUAAUGAAUGUUACGAAAUGUCCGUUAUCCUAGAGUAUGAAUUUCAAGUAAUCUGUGAGCAAGUUGCGCCCAAGUGAGUUCUAAGCAAUCCCUCGGGGUUAAUGUUCGCAUCUGUAGAUACGUCACGAGGGCUCUCAGAAACUUUCCACACUUGACCUAUUAUUGUGAUUCGUCUUAAUCUCCUCAUACAACAGCAUUGUAUUUCAGUUCAACGUUCUAGAAUACUCUUCACGUGGCAUAUGUAAUCGAUCUUCCUAACUUUAAGAAUCAUUCAUUACUCUUGCUGCAAAAACAACUAUUUAAAUAAGACCGGCAGUAGGCUAGUUAUGUUACGAACUAAUAAAUAACGAAUUUCACUUUUAUUUCUAAGCCUGUACAUUUUAAAGUAACUACAUACGUAAUGUUAUGUAUAGAAAAUUGGUAUAAUAGCCUAGAAUCAAUUACCUAAGGUAACGUUUAGUUUAUUAUUUUGAUGUUACGCUAACGCAAAACUACGCUCUUAAAAUUAAUGCUAAGUUCGUUUUUCUACAUUUCGUCUAGCGAACUACUUGUAAAGUAUUAUACUACUUAAUACUAAUUAAAGUAAAACAAUGACAAUAUUAAAAUAUAUAUCAAAAUGGCAUUUAGAGUUACGUUUUUCGUGUUAGACAUGCUUCGUGGUCGAACGAAACACAAUUCACUUUUAGAUGAUAUUUAGGACGAACUUAUUGCUGAUGAUUCAGGCUCAGUAACGGUACGUUCCUUAAAUGUACUUACGACUACAGCGUACUUAAUAAAAUAUUAAUAUUUUAAUUAAUAUAAAUAUCCUAGUUUGAAGUCAGAGUUAUCAGCAAUAUCCUACCUUUAGGUACAGUAUUGUCACUGGUUCUUACAUAUCUUCCAGUCCAGUUUGUUACGCAAUGUGUGUUUUGAUGUAACUAUCUUAGUUUAAUAAAUACAAAACCAUAAAAUAAAAUGAGACUGCAAUCCGUAA